rnacentral:rRNA from 1 species
UGGGUGAGUAACACGUGGGGAACCUGCCCCUAAGUCUGGGAUACCAUUUGGAAACAGGUGCUAAUACCGGAUAAUAAAGCAGAUCGCAUGAUCAGCUUUUGAAAGGCGGCGUAAGCUGUCGCUAAGGGAUGGCCCCGCGGUGCAUUAGCUAGUUGGUAAGGUAACGGCUUACCAAGGCGACGAUGCAUAGCCGAGUUGAGAGACUGAUCGGCCACAUUGGGACUGAGACACGGCCCAAACUCCUACGGGAGGCAGCAGUAGGGAAUCUUCCACAAUGGACGCAAGUCUGAUGGAGCAACGCCGCGUGAGUGAAGAAGGUUUUCGGAUCGUAAAGCUCUGUUGUUGGUGAAGAAGGAUAGAGGUAGUAACUGGCCUUUAUUUGACGGUAAUCAACCAGAAAGUCACGGCUAACUACGUGCCAGCAGCCGCGGUAAUACGUAGGUGGCAAGCGUUGUCCGGAUUUAUUGGGCGUAAAGCGAGCGCAGGCGGAAAAAUAAGUCUAAUGUGAAAGCCCUCGGCUUAACCGAGGAACUGCAUCGGAAACUGUUUUUCUUGAGUGCAGAAGAGGAGAGUGGAACUCCAUGUGUAGCGGUGGAAUGCGUAGAUAUAUGGAAGAACACCAGUGGCGAAGGCGGCUCUCUGGUCUGCAACUGACGCUGAGGCUCGAAAGCAUGGGUAGCGAACAGGAUUAGAUACCCUGGUAGUCCAUGCCGUAAACGAUGAGUGCUAAGUGUUGGGAGGUUUCCGCCUCUCAGUGCUGCAGCUAACGCAUUAAGCACUCCGCCUGGGGAGUACGACCGCAAGGUUGAAAACUCAAAGGAAUUGACGGGGGCCCGCACAAGCGGUGGA